rnacentral:rRNA from 2 species
UGAGGAAUAUUGGUCAAUGGGCGCAAGCCUGAACCAGCCAUCCCGCGUGCAGGAAGACGGCGCUAUGCGUUGUAAACUGCUUUUCCAGGGAGAGAAACUUGCGCACGUGUUGCGCAAUUGACGGUACCCUGGGAAUAAGCAUCGGCUAACUCCGUGCCAGCAGCCGCGGUAAUACGGAGGAUGCGAGCGUUAUCCGGAUUCAUUGGGUUUAAAGGGUGCGUAGGCGGACUAUUAAGUCAGUGGUGAAAUCCUGCGGCUCAACCGUAGAACUGCCAUUGAAACUGAAGAACUUGAGUUUGGUUAAGGUAGGCGGAAUGUGUAAUGUAGCGGUGAAAUGCUUAGAUAUUACACAGAACACCAAUUGCGUAGGCAGCUUACUGAGCCGACACUGACGCUGAGGCACGAAAGCGUGGGGAUCGAACAGG